rnacentral:rRNA from 1 species
ACGCUCGACACCUACGGGCGGCAGCAGUGGGGAAUAUUGCACAAUGGGGGAAACCCUGAUGCAGCGACGCCGCGUGAAGGAAGAAGUAUUUCGGUAUGUAAACUUCUAUCAGCAGGGAAGAAAAUGACGGUACCUGAGUAAGAAGCACCGGCUAAAUACGUGCCANNCGCGACGUAUNGNGGCGGNGNGAGAG